CAUAAAGUAGACAGCACUACUAA
rnacentral:miRNA from 8 species